GGCCCCGCCGGGCCGGGGGCGAGGUCGAACUUGUAAAGCGAAGGUCGUCGGUUCGAAUCCGACAGGGGGCUCCA
rnacentral:tRNA from 1 species